GCACUGUAUAGCCGAGUAUGUGUGGCGGUGGACUGGCGGCAUGUCCCACCUCCAUUGCAAUGAUGUUGAUGUCACCUACGCUGGCGAAAUGCGUGCUGACACUGACCCGCUCAGAGGCUAUGAGUAACCGCAGCUCUCCCAACAUUGCUUACCCGCUUAUCAGUGGGUAGGGCUGCGGACCAAGAUAAGAUAAUUGCCAACGUUUGUGUGGUUUGGAUUACUGGCUCCUAGGAAUCGUACCAGGUUUUCUUCAUCCAAUUGGAAGGCUUGCACGGCUCGUCGAGCACCACAAAGGCACCCGGCGGGUCCCUUUGGC